GUUUUAACUCCAAAACAGAUGCUUGUAUGCCUUUGAUAAAAAUGGAAAUUUAAAAAAUUAAGGGAGGGAUAGUAGGGAGGUGGGAGGAAGGGAGAUGUGCUUUUUACAGCUGGUGCUUCCUGACUAGUGACUAGGGGGAAAUGCUUGGGCUGAAGUGUACCCUUCUGAAUGCUGAGCUCCUUAACAGAACCCAGGAGGGAGAAGCCUGGGAAAGCGUCAGGCCCUGGCCCAGGAGGACACUUCAUUCUCGCAGGUCUUAAAGGUUUCAAAUGUUCAACCCCAGAACUGCUAUUGUCAUGAAGGAAUGAAGCCAAAGAGAAAUCUGUUGUGUCAGAAGGGAACUCUGCCAUGCGGACUUCACAGCACCAGGAUCACAAGAAGCUCUAAGACUUUCCGGGGGUUUAGUAUACCACUGCCUGCAAGUGGUGAGAAGAUAUCAAUAUUUAUUCAGGUGAAUACUCUUUAAAAAACGCUUAUAUACCAGACUAUGAUACGUAGACUAUCUCAGCACAUUCAAAAGAGCAGAAAUUGUACAGAUGACAUUUCAGACCACAGUGCAGUACAAUGAAAGAUGAUUAACACCGUUUUAAGAAUACGUGAUGAUCUAUAACAAAAGGUUACUACAUAUUUAAUUACUCUCUGGAUGGGCAAUGGC
rnacentral:lncRNA from 1 species